UACGGAGGGGGCUAGCGUUGUUCGGAAUUACUGGGCGUAAAGCGCACGUAGGCGGACUGUUAAGUCGGGGGUGAAAUCCUGGGGCUCAACCUCAGAAUUGCCUCCGAUACUGGCAGUCUCGAGUGCGGGAGAGGUGAGUGGAAUUCCCAGUGUAGAGGUGAAAUGCGCAGAUAUCGGGAAGAACACCCGUGGCGAAGGCGGUUCUCUGGGACGGUACUGACGCUGAGACGCGAAAGCGUGGGGAGCGAACAGG
rnacentral:rRNA from 1 species